rnacentral:rRNA from 1 species
GACGAACGCUGGCGGCGUGCUUAAUACAUGCAAGUCGAGCGAGGUUACUGUUUUGGAUCCCUUCGGGGUGAAGAAGCUUUAACCUAGCGGCGGACGGGUGAGUAACGCGUGGGUAACCUACCCCAAAGUCCGGGAUAACAGCGGGAAACCGCUGCUAAUACCGGAUGCCUUUACCUUGGGGCAUCUUGAGGUAAAGAAAGGCAACGCUUUGGGAUGGGCCCGCGUCCCAUUAGCUAGUUGGUGAGGUAACGGCUCACCAAGGCGACGAUGGGUAGCCGGCCUGAGAGGGUGGACGGCCACACUGGGACUGAGACACGGCCCAGACUCCUACGGGAGGCAGCAGUAGGGAAUAUUGCGCAAUGGACGGAAGUCUGACGCAAGCGACGCCGCGUGAGCGAUGAAGGUCUUCGGAUCGUAAAGCUCUGUCCGUUGGGGAAGAAGGCGAAAGCUUGACGGUACCCAAGAAGAAACGCCCCGGACUAACUACGGUGCCAGCACGCCGACGGUAAAACCCUCGUCUCUA